rnacentral:lncRNA from 1 species
GUCCGCCGGACUCGGAAUGGGGCGAGACUUUGCGAGGGGCCUCGGGGUGCCAAAAAUAAGCCGCGGGCAAAGCCGCGCCCAAAAAUAAGCGCCCGAAGGCCGUGGUGCCAAAACCCCCCAGCGGAAAAAUGGCCAAAAAACGGGUGGGCUAUAGACUUGGUGGGGGGCGCGGGCGAAGUUCGUCCGCCGGACUCGGAAUGGGGCGAGACUUUGCGAGGGGCCUCGGGGUGCCAAAAAUAAGCCGCGGGCAAAGCCGCGCCCAAAAAUAAGCGCCCGAAGGUCGUGGUGCCAAAACCCCCCAGCGGAAAAAUGGCCAAAAAACGGGUGGGCGAUAGCCUUGGUGGGGGGCGCGGGCGAAGUUCGUCCGCCGGACUCGGAAUGGGGCGAGACUUUGCGAGGGGCCUCGGGGUGCCAAAAAUAAGCCGCGGGCGAAGCCGCGCCCGAAGGUCGUGGUGCCAAAACCCCCCAGCGGAAAAAUGGCCAAAAAACGGGUGGGCUAUAGCCUUGGUGGGGGGCGCGGGCGAAGUUCGUCCGCCGGACUCGGAAUGGGGCGAGACUUUGCGAGGGGCCUCGGGGUGCCAAAAAUAAGCCGCGGGCAAAGCCGCGCCCAAAAAUAAGCGCCCGAAGGUCGUGGUGCCAAAACCUCCCAGCGGAAAAAUGGCCAAAAAACGGGUGGGCUAUAGCCUUGGUGGGGGGCGCGGGCGAAGUUCGUCCGCCGGACUCGGAAUGGGGCGAGACUUUGCGAGGGGCCUCGGGGUGCCAAAAAUAAGCCGCGGGCAAAGCCGCGCCCAAAAAUAAGCGCCCGAAGGCCGUGGUGCCAAAACCCCCCAGCGGAAAAAUGGCCCAAAAAC